rnacentral:rRNA from 1 species
GUUCGCUUAUUCCGUUGUCCUCGGGACGUUAAGCUGCUCUGGUCGAGGAUAAACGACCCCUCUGACCGAGGUCAAACCUGUCGCUCUGUGUUACCUUUGUCUGAGGCACACGUUAAAGAUCGUUCCGCAUUGUGAGUCUAACACCAGUUGUAUAAACUUUUUACAACCGGUAGCGAUGGAUCCCUUGGCACGUCAUUCGAUGAAGACCGUUGCAAAUUGCGAUAAAGUGAUGUGAUGCGCAAGUCCACCACUUAUACGUGAAUCAUCGAGUUGUUGAACGCAUUGCACCGCGCCCUAAUCCGGCUGCGGUAUGCCCCUUUGAGCGUCAUUGUAUUCCUUCGGGAGUCCUUUUUACAAAGGACCCGAGUUCGGAGUCCUCGGUCCUCUGGAUCGUGUUCUCUUAGAUGCGUCGCACCGAUCGCCUGAUGGGUCUCUAAUGCCUAAGCGUGGAGUUCCUUCAGAGUCCGAGACGUGCUUGACCGGGUGUUGAGCUCGCGUCACCAAGUCUGCCUCACAAGCAGUACUACAACGCAUGACCUCAUUGGGGUAGGACAACCCGCUAGACUUAAGCAUAUUAAUCAGCGGAGGAAAAGAAACUAACCAGGAUUCCCUCAGUAACUGCGAGUGAAGCGGGAUCGGCUCAAUGUGUGAAUCUGGCUUGGGGUACAUCCCGGGUCCGAGUUGUGCACUAUGGAUGCUUCGUCUGCGUUUGUAAAGGCGGUGGAAGUCCGUUGAAACACGGCACCUCAGAGGGUCACAGUCCUGUACCAUCCGUCUGCACUCGCGCCAAUGACAAGUGCUCCUCGAGUCGCGUAGUUUUGUAAUGCUGCGCCAAGUGGGAGGUAGAGACCUUCUAAGGCUAAAUAUGAUGACGUGACCGAUAGCACACAAGUACCGCGAGGGAAAGGUGAAAAGCAACCAUGAAAAAUGGGUUGAAACAGUAGUGAAAUCGCUACCGGGAUAAGGGCUAUCGGGUGCUGGGGCUCUUUGGGUGUGCUUUAGUGCUACCCUCGGAGACGGCCCGCGAGGGUUGAUGUUGGGGCGAUAGACGCGCUGCAGGAAUUCGGCUGCCUUUGGGCAGUGUGAGCUUCAUUCGAUGAAGAUUCGUGCGG